AGUCGAACGAUGAUGCCCAGCUUGCUGGGCGGAUUAGUGGCGAACGGGUGAGUAAUACGUGAGUAACCUGCCCUUGACUCUGGGAUAAGCCUGGGAAACUGGGUCUAAUACUGGAUACUACCUCUUACCGCAUGGUGGGUGGUGGAAAGGGUUUUACUGGUUUUGGAUGGGCUCACGGCCUAUCAGCUUGUUGGUGGGGUAAUGGCUCACCAAGGCGACGACGGGUAGCCGGCCUGAGAGGGUGACCGGCCACACUGGGACUGAGACACGGCCCAGACUCCUACGGGAGGCAGCAGUGGGGAAUAUUGCACAAUGGGCGGAAGCCUGAUGCAGCGACGCCG
rnacentral:rRNA from 1 species